GGCUGGCGUUGCUAGCAAACGUAGAAAAGAACAGGAACAAUGAAAAUGAUUGGAACAUAGAAAAUAAUCAUGCAGGAGAAGCAAGAAGUCUUCCAACUCUGCUGGGAAAAUUUUUUAAGAGAAGGAUAACCUUGGCUCUACGGUGCCGCUGACGGAUCAUAUACGCAGCGUAUAUACGCAGCGGAUCAUAUACGCAGCGUAGGGGAUGUUCAAGUGCUCCUAACUUUUUUUUUUUUUUUGAGAAGCUUAACAAAAUUAAUGCUGUUUCUCCAGAUGCCUAAUUCGCUCCACAGAAGUGGUCUCCAUCUCAAAUCUCGACCAGAAGUUGAUUUGGAAGCUGGCAAGCAUGCACUCUUGGCAAUUGAGAACAUCAGCAAUGAGAGAAGAGUCUGCAACCUUCCCCUCUGCCCAGGAAGAGGCUUGAAGUUUCCAUGAAUUGAGGAGCACGUAACAUCCUCUUCAACACAAGCAUUGAGUCCUACAACUGCUGUGACUGCAAAAAAGAAGCAUAAUCCAUGAAAUAUCCUUUUAAAGGAUACUCAGCAUAAUCAUUAGCAUAGCAUAGAGUGAAUGUGAUUUCUCUCUCUUUCUUUCCCUCUCCCUCUCUUAAUAGAGAUAUAUAGAUAUAGAUUUAGACAUUCAGAAAGUUUUUAUGCAAUGUGAAACUUGCCUUCCCCAAAACAGAAUCAUUGGCAGAAUCAUUGGCAAAGACUUGAGCAUUAAUGGCAAUUCUGAUUUGGAUCUAAAUUAGUCCCUUAACCUGCUAAACCUCAACCUUUCUAGAAGGAAAAAAAAAAAAAAAGGAAGAACUACUCUCACCUGUACCCCAAACCAGAUUGAGGGAUAAAACCAAUAAUGUGAGAGUACUUGGAAACAUGCAGCACAUUUCAGAUCUUAGGGGUUGGAGGAUUCCAAUGUAAGAAUGUAAAUGUCUACAGCAUAUUUGCAUGAGUUUCAACUUAGUAGAACCUUUAAAGAGAAAUGUGUUCAUCUCCACCCAUAAUUCUUAAAAUUACUUUAAAUUCUGCAGCUUGGUAUUUAGUGCAUUAUACAUGAGGUAGGACUAGUUUCACAGCUGGACUUUAUAGCAUGGCAGUACUUAGAAUAUUUUUGUGGAUAAUGUAGUCCUCUUAAAGGUUUCUCUCCUUAAAUUCUGAAAAAAAAGAUGAUCAAAAUAUGAGUUUUUCGUUUCCUAAAGAAUCCUAAAAUUGGUUUAGGACAUACUUCAAGUAAUGCCAAAUGUCCUAGAUUCCCUUUUACAUUUACAAUGAGACCUUCACAGAUGAAAACUCCCGUUCACACUUAGGCUAAUGUGAGGAGUCCAGAAGUAAAAUCCUAAAGGAUGAUGUGAGAGGACAAUCUAGUUCCUCAUUCAGAAAAAGGUGCUAAAACAUUUGGAAAAGUUAGAAACAUUUCUGCAAGUAAACCCUGAUUCAGCCAAAUGACAGCUUGAGAUUUACAACUCAGUGACAGUGGGGAGGCCGGUUCCAGGAUGAUAACCCUGCCACAGUUCAUGAGAAAAAGGUUUUCACCACAUAAUCCGCUCAACGAUCUGUUUGCAGGUGAUAUCAUUUCUGUUUUUCAAGUAAGAAAACCCAGGCUCAAACAGUUAUGAUUAUCAUCUUAUAUGUUAAUUUUAAUUUAUAUCCAUUCUUGUGCCAGAAAUAGCUAAAAGAAGCCAAAUAGAUAUAAAUAGCCAUGUUUCAAUCAUUUUACAAAUGAUAAUAUAAGCGCUUCUUACUAGUCAGCGUCUCUGCCUCUAGCUCCUUACUCCUCUAAGGUAGAGCGUCAGGCCAUUUCACGGCCAUCUGAAAUGACCAUAUUGUAAAUCAUUUUAGGUUUGCCAGCUAUACCAACCCUGUUGCAACCACUCAAUUCUGCUCUGGUAGUCUGAAACAGCAAUUGACAAUAUGUAAGCAAAUGGACAUGACUGUGUUCCAAUAAAGCUUUAUUUACAAAAACA
ensembl:lncRNA